rnacentral:rRNA from 1 species
CGGGUAGGACGUAAACGCGUGGGUAACCUGCCUCAUACAGGGGGAUAACAGUUAGAAAUGACUGCUAACACCGCAUAAUAUAGUGAAACCGCAUGAUUUUUGCUAUCAAAUAUUUAUAGGUAUGAGAUGGGCCCGCGUCUGAUUAGCUAGUUGGUGGGGUAAAAGCCUACCAAGGCGACGAUCAGUAGCCGGCUUGAGAGAGUGACCGGCCACAUUGGGACUGAGACACGGCCCAAACUCCUACGGGAGGCAGCAGUGGGGAAUAUUGGACAAUGGGGGAAACCCUGAUCCAGCGAACCGCCGCGUGAGUGAAGAAGUAUUUCGGUAUGUAAAGCUCUAUCAGCAGGGAAGAUAAUGACAGUACCUGACUAAGAAGCCCCGGCCAACUACGUGCCAGCCGCUGC